rnacentral:lncRNA from 1 species
CAAAACCUGCUGCGGAUUCGUGGUUUUGUAGCUGACCGUUACGAGUACGUAGGUUGGUCAGGUAUAACUACAAGAAAUGAGAAUCGGACAGUCACAAGAAAUUUUCAUUGAUGAGGAAACUGGGCAGUUGAUGGUUGAAUCCAGCCUUUUUUUUAACCUGCCAUUUGAGUCUGUACCGCUUUCCUCUCCCUUCUUUGUUUGAACUCUAGAACAAAAAAAAAAAAAAACAACCAAGAAAUCUGUUGUCAUAGAUGUACAUCUACGACGCACCCUCCAUCAUGAUCUGGCUUUUGUCAUAAAUUUGUAAUUGAUUUUUUUUUUGUGGGGGAUAAAUUUGUAAUAGAUGUUCAUCUGGGACGAGAAGUUGUAUCCCGAUCAAAAUAACCUUGUGGUGGAUACCUGAAGAGAGUGCCAUCCUUCAACGUAACCUUGUGGUGGCGGACUUUUGCUUCUCGAUGAAGUUGCUAGAACAAGUAGUGGAAGCUCAAGGGAGGGGGAGGGGGCAGCUCAGGCUUUCAAGGAGAGAGUUAUUAAGGAUGGAUCUUGGGAGGAAGGGGAUGACACAAACAAUGUGGAUGAAGAUGACGACUUGUGUUCAUAAGGUGGCUUCAAAAAAGUUUGGGGUGACCAGGGGAAGUCAAGAUGAAGCUAAUUAAAGACACUUGGUUACGGAACAAUGAUGUCAAAACAACUAUUAAGCAGAAAAAAGAUUUGUUAGCGCCUAUACCGGGGUCAACAUAGAGAAAUACAAGGUGGCAAAGAAGACCACAAAACGAGUUGUGAGUGAAACAAGGGGUCAGACGUAUGAGGAUCUCUAUCAGCAUUUAAAUACGAAGGAAGACAUAAGUGACAUUUAUAAGAUUACCAAGAUCCGAGAGAGGAAGAUGAGGGAUGUCAACCAAGCUAAAUGCAUCAAUGCUGGAGCAAAUCGACAUUUGGUGAAGGACGAGAAGAUCAAUAAUAGAUGGCGAGGAUACUUUUUGUGCAACGAAUCCAUGAGUAUGACGUUAGGGAGGCUCUAAAAAGAAUGAAUGAAGAACGGGUCUUGAUUGUAUCCCAAUUGAGUGGAAAAGCCUUGGAGACAUAGCGGUAGUAUGUCCAAAUAAGCUUUCCAAACACAUUUUUCGGGCAAAUAAGAUUCUCGAAGAAUGAAGGCGGAGUAUAUUAGUGUCAAUCUACAAGAAUAAGGGGAAUAUUUAAAAUUGUACUAAUUACUGCGGAAUUGAUCUGAUGAGCCAUACAAUGAAGCUAUGUGAAAAGUCACUAAAUACCACUUAAGAAAAAUGACAAGCAUGACCAAAAAAUCAAUUUGAUUUCAUUUGUGGGAGGUCGACCAUGGAAACUAUUUACUUGGUACGACAACCUAUGGAGAGACACAAGGAUCAAAGGAAGGACAUGCAUAUGAUGUUCAUUGACUUGAAGAAGGCCUAUGAUAAGAUAUCGCGUAAUAUCAUGUGGUAGGACUUGGAAAAAUACACAGUCCCAACAAAGUACAUUAACCUCAUCAAGGACAUGUAUCAUAAUAUUGUGACAAGUGUUCAGACAAGUGAUGGUGGCACUGAUGACUUUCCAAUUAAAAUAGCCAUGCACCAAGGGUCAACUUUGAGCCCUUAUCUUUUUUGCUUUAGUAAUGGAUGAGGUCACACGGGAUAUACAAGGAGAUACCCCAUGGUGUAUACUCUGUGCAGAUGAUGUGGCGCUAGUCAAUGAUAGUAGGACAAGGGUUAAUAUAGGGGCCGUGGCUAUCUGGCGCGCGAGCGUUCCAACGCCCGUUUUCCGACAGGCUUCAAUUUGGAAAGUGGCUUAACUACGUGGAUUAGUUAGGCUAGUCAUAGUGGGGAGUAUCAUAUACUAGUAUCAUGCAUAUGAUAUUAGUGUACGAUACAACCUUCAUAGUACAUAGUAUUAUAAAGUAGUAUCAUAGAUGAUCAUAUUUAUUGCCAUGCAUGACACAGAGUAGCAUAGCAUUUAACAUGAUACGGUAUCUACCUAUGUUACUUUAGCCCUAUCUCUCUUCUUUAAUUGUGUGCCACAUAAACAUGUUUGCUAGUCCCAAGUGCAUGUUACCGGUUAUGUUACCCCCACUAUGGCUAGCCUUAGGGGCGAUUAAUUGGAGCCCCCCUGAAAAUCAGGAGGGGGCGGUGAUUAGUGUUGAUUUGGGUGGGGCCGCCUCCGGCCCUCUUGCCUUACCUAGCCUUUGCAUGUGUGUGCGCUGGAAGUCUCAUGCGGUGGGCCUUGAUGGAAAGACUUGUCGGCUGAUUAGUUGCACUGGAUUAGAUCGCUCGCUGCAGCGGCCGAUCGCUAGGAAGUCAUUUCGUAAUAUAGGAAAUUAGAGUUGUGGAGACAGUUAUUAGAAUCGAAAGAUUCUAGGCUUACUAGAACUUAAACUGAGUAUGCGAGGUAUAGUUUCAAUACUAUUAGGCACGAGAAGGGAGAGAUCAUCCUUGAUGGGUAGGCGGACAAGAAUGGUGAUGUUGACGAACAUGUGAGCCAUGUAAUCAAAGUCAGAUGGAUGACGAAGUGUUGCGAAGCUUCGUGUGUCCUACUCCUAUGUGACAUGAGAAUUUCACAAAAGCUAAAAGACAUAUUCUAUAGGACAUCGAUUCGACCUAGGAUAUUAUGUUGACUAACUAAAAGGUGACAUGUCCAACUGUUAGGUGUAGCAAAUAUGCGCAUGCUGAGAUGGAUGUGUGACCACACAAAGAAAAGAUCAAGUCUGAAAUGUUGAUAUAUGAGAUAGAGUUGGGUAGCACCAAUUGAAGAGAAGCAUGUCCAGUAUCCUCUAAGAUGGUUUGGGUAUAUACAACGUGGGCCUCCAGAAGCGUCAAUGCAUAGCGGAAGGAUAAAGUGUGUUGAUAAUGUCAAGAGAGGUUUGUGUAGACCAAACUUGACAUGUGAGGAGUCCCUUAAUAAAGACUUGAAAGACCCGAAUAUCACCAAAGAACUAGCCAUGGACAGGGUAACAUGAAAGUUAGCUAUCCACGUGCUAGAAUCAUAACUAUCAUAACUAGGUUCGAGAUCUUGUGAGUUUCAAAUCUAGCCAAUCCCUACUCUUUUAGGGAAUCUAGCCUAUCUCAACUUGUUUGGGAUUGAAAGACGUUGUUGUUGUUAUUUGUAAGAAGCUCAUUAUUGCAUUUGGGUGGAUAAUCCUCUUAUUUUUAUUACAUCACUAUUAACUAACGAUAUAAGUAUAAUUCUUCUUUAUUCUCUAAAAUCGGCUCCUAAAUCCAAAUGCAACAUCAUGUUAAGCCACGUCGUUUCAAAAGAAGUUGUAGAAUUAUAUUAAGAAUCAAUCAAGGCCAAGAUCUUGGCAAUUGGACCCAUAAACAGGCAUAUCCUUCAUUGAAAAGACAUGCCCAUGCCCUUUGGUGAAAAGAUGUUUCUUCAUGAAAAUACAUUGGUGAAAAGAUGUCUCUUCGUUGAAAGACAUUGGUGAAACGAUGUUUCUUCAUUAAAAGACAUUGCUGAAAAGAUGUCUGUUCGCAUAAAGACACGUUCCUUGAUAAAAAUACAUCUCUUCACUAAAAGACAUAUUGUAAAAUAAAUUAAAGGAAAAAAUAUAUUAGAUUAACAUGUUACAAAAAUUAUUUGUAACUUCCAAAAAAUGCGACAAUCGAGAUUGUCUUAAUUGAGUUAGAAAACUAUGUACCAAACAUUACCGUUUGAAUUUGUUUAUGCAUUUUGACGAUAUUUAAACUCAACCCUGCCGUUUAAAAAUAUAUUGUAUACAUACAUAAUUUUAAACGAACUUGCUAUAUAACAAUACCUGCUACAAAAGUGUGGGCUUUAAGAAUAACAAACAAGUUGCGAGAUGAGCAUAGCUCAAAUGGUUAGUUUUUUUGUGCUGUAACCAGCUCACCGGAGUUUAAGUCCUAGACUUGAUAUUGAUGUUCACAUUAUCCUGGAUUUAUUUCAGACUUUCUAGCGAUGUUCGUUCAGCGAGAGUCGAUUACGAGACGUAUGUGGUGACUUGUGACUUUGUCAAUUUCAAGAUAUUGUGUUGUCUCGGUAUUUUGAAGAUACUCAUAGGGUAAGGAUAUGUGUGUGGGCUCAUAGGCGUAAGUUUAUGUAACCAUCUAUCGAUUGUACCGUGUUAAAACACAAUAAUAAAAAAGUUGACACGAUAGCUUUCCCCCAAAAAAGGAAAACCGAGAGUUGAUUGAUCUGAGGGACACCCAUCCCCGGGAUAAAAAAACUGAGCGACACCCUAACGGCACUCACCGUGUGGAUCAAUUCAAAAAACUGAACAAACCCUCGGUAUAAAUUUGUUGUAACAACUCAACAAACCCCCGAACGGCAUUACGGAUUCAAGUACUUCUGGAUCGAAAUGGCCCGUUGACUGUAGAUGCUGCUAGAGGCACGUGCCCACGAGUUUGUCGGGCACGCAGACGCAGGAGGCACACGACCAAUUCCACUCGGCAGCCGCACGUAGCUUAGCGAUAGGAAGCUUCCUGCUACGGGAACGUGUAGUCUUCUCUUCUGUGUCCAACUUUUCUUCUUCUUCUUCGGACGGAAAAUGUCUGCAUGGCGUUUGCAUGGAUAAGUCUGGUUCAACAAGCCUCCUUUUAUUAGGCACCGAUCGCGCCGACUGAGGAGGUAGCCUCCUCUUCCUCCUCCCCUCCUCUCCUUCCGGCCGAUGCCUACGACGACGGACGGGGCCGACGCCCCCGACCUCGCCGGCCGCGCAAUGACCCGCUCCUCCUCCUCCUCCAGCCCACCGCCAGCCGCGUGCCACCUCCAGAUCACAACUGCUGCCACCACCGCCGCGACCGCAAACACCUCCGCCAAUCCCUCCUCCCCCGUCGCCCAGUCCUCCUCCUCCUCCUCCCGCGUCGCCGGAGCCGCCGCCGGGUCCGGGCAGAACCAGGCCUGCGCGGCCUGCAAGUACCAGCGCCGCAAGUGCAACCCGGACUGCCCGCUCGCCCCUUACUUCCCCGCCGACCAGCAGCGCCGCUUCCUCAACGCGCACCGCCUCUUCGGCGUCGGCCACAUCCAGGCCACGCUCCGGGAGACCCCGCCCGACCUGCACACCGACGCCAUGCGCGCGCUCAUCUUCCAGGCCGAGGCCCGGGCCUACGACCCCGUCGGGGGCUGCUGCCGCAUCAUCCUCGACUACGAGAGGCAGCUCGGCCUCGCACAGGCCGAGCUCGCCGCGCUCCUACGCCACCUCGAUCUCUGCCGCCACCAGGCCGCCGCCGCCGCCAUCGCCCAGGACGCGCUCGUCAACGACCCAGGGAUGCUGCUGCUUGCCCCCGGGCCCAACCCGGCCGAUGUCCAGGACGGUGUCGCCGCUCUCGACCCGCUCUACGCCGGCCACGAGAUCAGCAAUGGCCAGGCUAACCACCACGACCACGAUCAUUAUCUGGUCGGCGCCGCGGACCAGCUGCAGCUGCAACCGCAGAAGCACCAGCCGUACGACUACUUCUACUACGACGGGCCGGCGGCCGUCGACGAGACCAGCAGCCACGCUUGGAGCAAUGCCGGCAACGUGCAGCAGCAGUACGGAAAUGGCGUCAAGGCCGAAUCUCCGGUGGCGCUCGACGAUCAGAUCGAGACACAGUUCGUCGACGCUUUCGACGUGAAGCCAGAGAUAGCAGCAGCAUCAUCAUCAGUCGCCGUCAUGGAACACGACGACGGCGGCAGUGGCGCCAGCUUCGACCACCGCCACCUGGAGCAGAAGGUGGUGGCCACCGUGGUGAAAAAUGAACGGCUUGACCACCAGGCGGCGGCGCACAUGGCAGCAGAGUCGUCCUCGCGCUGCCAGCUGGAGCUAGGGUUCACUUCCUUCUGAUGCAUGUAGAUUUCAUCCAUCCAUGACCAUGCAAAGGCUGGAACGGCGCGUGGUGGACAUAGACCCCUUUUGGGCGAGGCACAGUUUCUGUUCUUCACCCCAUUUCAACAGGGUUAAGAAAUGCUUCUUCUCUGUUGCAUUUCUCAAUUUAGUUUCCACGUAGUGUUAGUUAAUUCAGCUAGCUAGCUAAUAAUCCUUAGCUUUAGGUCACAGAUUAGUUACAAUAAUAUUCCUCACCAUUGGUUAUGCGAGGAAAAUAAUAAUUAGUUAGUACUGUUGAUAAAAUAUUUGUACUCCAUCUUUUUAGUUAGUAUCUAUGAAAGGAGUAGCUCGUUUUGGACUACAAAAAUAUACCGUGUCAUUUUUUUUUCCAUGAGAUGGGGUAAUAUUUUGCAACAUAUGUAUUGAUGAACUUUUUCACAAAGGCACAUAUCAAGUUCACUCCUUUCGUCCCCUCAAAAAAAAAAAUCACUCCUUUCGUAAAUGAGCAUGCAUGUUUCUAUCUAACGGACACACUUUCGAAUACUUGUAAUCUAGUUCAAAGUUUAUUUUCAUGCCGGCCUUAUUGGAGUAGGUUUGCCGGAAAGCUGCCUGAAUUUUGAAUUCGGGUCAGUCGAUUCGGCGGAGAAGCAAGCAAGCGACGGGGGCACAACAACUAAGCCGCCUAAGGCGGCGCCGGGGCAAGCGGUAGCGAGGCCCAUGGAGGCAGACAAGGCCUUGGCCAAGAACAAACUGUAGCCGGCGGUAGCUGAAAUCUUGAUGAUUCAAGGCCGGGGGUGCAAGCUCGCCAGUUUAGAGGGAUGGACGUGGGCGACACCAGCACGAUCAUGGGUGGUAGUGAGGGGAAGGCGGGCCGCGCGGCUGGUAUGGGAGCGCCACCGGUAGCGGAGGGCCGAGGCAGGCGGUUUGGCCAUUGGUUCGUGGGGCAGUUUGGGGAACCAGAUGAACAAAGAGGGUGAAAGGUUGAAGAAGGCCAUCUAUUGGACGGUUAAAAACAAAUUUACUGUUCUAAUUUUCUUUUCAGUCGACUGACCCCUAGCUAGUCAUUUAUCAUAGCUUCAUUAGUCAAGAAUAUUUGUUAACACGGGCGAGAUGAUAUCGUGGCACUCUUUAAGUUUAUCAUGCAAAUGAAUUUGAUUGUACAAAACAAAUGGCUAUAGUAGGUUAGGCAUAAACAUCAUUUUCAGAGGUAGAAGAAAGUGAUCCAGCCCUGAAGUUUUCAUCCAAUGCCUUAGAUCAGUUGAUGGACACAGAUUUUUUUUCAGCUACCCAUUGAAUGGUGCUUCCAUAUUUUCUCAUACUAGUAACAGUAUAGUAGGGGACUUCUUCUUUUCUACUAGCACAGAUGCAAACUGAAUGGGUGACGCUACUUGACGGCCAAGCCUCCGAGAUCGAGUGACGUGCAUCGGGUGUCUUCCUGUUAGCUAGAUAGAGUGGACAGAUAUCUACACCAAGAUAUCUACACCAAGAUGGUUAUCAAAGUGUAGCCCCGUGUCGCCCCCCCGCGGGCGACCCGGGCGCCCAACCCUAGCCGUCGCCGAACCCAGCCCCCACCUCCUUCCUCUCCUCCCGCCGCCGCCGGCGGGCGCCGCCGGGCAAAGCCCGCGCGGUGCCGACGGCGGCGGGAUCUCGUUUCCUCGCCUGGAACAGGGGCCNNNNNNNNNNNNNNNNNNNNNNNNNNNNNNNNNNNNNNNNNNNNNNNNNNNNNNNNNNNNNNNNNNNNNNNNNNNNNNNNNNNNNNNNNNNNNNNNNNNNNNNNNNNNNNNNNNNNNNNNNNNNNNNNNNNNNNNNNNNNNNNNNNNNNNNNNNNNNNNNNNNNNNNNNNNNNNNNNNNNNNNNNNNNNNNNNNNNNNNNNNNNNNNNNNNNNNNNNNNNNNNNNNNNNNNNNNNNNNNNNNNNNNNNNNNNNNNNNNNNNNNNNNNNNNNNNNNNNNNNNNNNNNNNNNNNNNNNNNNNNNNNNNNNNNNNNNNNNNNNNNNNNNNNNNNNNNNNNNNNNNNNNNNNNNNNNNNNNNNNNNNNNNNNNNNNNNNNNNNNNNNNNNNNNNNNNNNNNNNNNNNNNNNNNNNNNNNNNCCUCGCUGGUGCGGGCGGCGCUCCUCCGGCGGCAGGGAGUGCUCGUCGGUGAGGUAGGCCGGAUCCCCUCGGCUGCGCGGGCAGCGAGGUCCCGGUGGGCACUGGUCAUGGCGCGGGGAGGCCCCGGGCUCCCCUCGUCAGAUCGGAGGCGAUCUGGUGCGCUCGUGAUGUAUGACCUCCGGCCGGCCUGGAUCUCCGGCGUGCACGCGCCUGCUGACGUUGUGGCUGGUUCGGAGGUGGCGGCAGGGUGCUUGGCCGGGGGAAACCCUUGGCCGCCGGUGGCGGUCAUGGCGUCAAUGGCGUCCCGGACGCCAUUCCCUCCUUGGUGGCGGCGCCGAGGCUAAACCUCCCCUGCCUCCCCCCUUCCCUUGCGCCCGGGUGAAAACCCUAGCCCCGGUGGUUAAGCGGCGGCGGCGCCACAGCGUCGUCACCUUCUUGAAGGCGUCGACUUGGGCAUGGGGAUGUUGGGCGUGCAUGGCGAGAUUGUCUGGAUCCUGGUGGCGGCCCGUCUGAUCUACCGCGUCGCAGCUCCGGGCAUGUCUCGUGACUGCGGUGCUUAUCUUCCGGCCGUGUCUCCGACGGCGACCUCGCCCUUCCUCAUCUUGUACUUGCCGUGGUGGAGCGGUACUUCAUCUCACUCAUUGAUGGCGGCGGAGUUCGGCGGCAUGGCGCUGUGGAGGCUCGGCGUCCGAUGCGCGGAGAUGGACUCACGCAGGAGGAGGUAGCUGUCUGGCGUCAUGGUGACGUCGAUGGCAGAAGUGGCCUUCACAAGGUAGAAGACUCAAUAUAAUCUGAAGAAGGACCUGUGAAAGAUGGCGGCGACGACACAAGAGUGCGUCUGACCGGAUUGUGCCCCAGACCCGGUAUGUGGCUCGGCCGGGGCUUCCGGCUUUUGAUGUUAGGUUUAGGUGAGUGGUUUGGGUAGUGGCCCAGCUAGCAUCCCUUCAUCAUAUGGAUAAGAGUAGCGGCAUAUGUUGCCAAGAUGGUGGAUUCAGGUAUAUUGUUUGUAAUACUUUGUAAGGUCCUCGAGAAUAAUUAAUAAAGUGGUCGUAUGCAUCUCCCAGAUGCAGAGGCCGGGGGUCAUCCUCCUUUUCUAAAAAAAAAAGAUAUCUACACCAUGCAUAUGAUUCCUAAGGGAUAUCUACACCAAUUCAGCAUAACCAAACUUAAAGAAAAGAAAAGGUUUUGGUCGAUGGUGAUAUGAUAGCGACGAAGACUCAGCCUACUAGAUUUUUUGUGUGUGUGGACAAUAUCCUACUAGUUUUUCUUUUUCAAAAAACAUGAAGAAAUAGGAAUAAAUGAAAUUCAACUAAAGUAGGGGAAAACAUACGUAGCAUUAGAUGUACACGGUAAAUACAGUGUGACGUACAUAUAGGACUUGGUGAAAUGAAAACUAAUUAAUCCUUAAUUGAUUUUAUAACCUUUUGUUAUAGGUUUUUGUAAAAAAAUCAUCUUUUUACAGUAAUAAUUUGUUCAUCUAGUAUAUAGCAUUGUGGUUAGCCGGGUGGGAAUUAUUUCAUACAAAUCCAGAAAGUAUUCUAUGAGUCGUGAUAAUUUGUUCACCUAGUAUACAAAGAUAUAGUAGUAGCACUAAAUCAACGAUAAUUAAUAUGGGACGGAGAGAGUAGUAUUUAUUCUCAAAGUUCAAAAAAUAUGGAGUCUUGCAUGGAUCUUAGAGGAUUGUUUUUAACAAAAAAAAUUGCACUGGUGAUGGUUCUCAACAUUGACUAAGAGCCAAGACGUUUUUGUUUUUUUGGAGAAACGUCUGAUCUAUUCAUGAUCAAUCAUGACGCCAUAAAGAACAUUAGAGGUAAUAAAAAUUACAACCAAGUCCAUUGAUCAUCUAGCGACGAAUACAAGCACUAGAACAAGCCGAAGACGCGUCGCCAUUAUUGACCUCCCUCACUGGAACCGGGCAAAUCUUGUUGCAGUAAAGAGUGAUGAAGUCAUCAUGCUAAGGCCCUGUAGCACCAGCGCACUAGAGCAGCAACCAUCGUCGGUGAAGAUAGUCGUAGAUCAAAAUGAUCAAAUUUGUAAACACUCAAAAGAAGACAAACAAAGUUUAGAUCCAAACCAAUCCCCGGAAGAGCAACACUGACUGAAUUCCGCAAGAUCCAAUGAAGACAUAUCUCCACACGCUCUGUGAUGGUACUAGACACACCAUGAGGAUGGAAAACAUGAGUCACAUCGCUGCCGCCACACAACUUCAACUUGACUAGUUCAACCUCCUGCCGUUGGAUGAUUAAAAACCUCCAAACCGUUCGAUCCGAGCAAUGGUGACCCCCGUUAGAGAUGCCUUAGCUCCUGGUACUUCUGGGAGCAAAUCAUUGGAUUAUCCCCGAAGCUGCUCUGGCGCAAUUGACUUGACUAGUUCUUUUUUGUUUACAGUAAUUUACUUGACUAGUUUAUUUAUUCGAAAAGGCUAGCAAGCGUCCGGUACCAUGCAUAUCAAAAUCAGAUGAGGCGUGAGCGAUCAGUAAACCUUGAUCGGUCACCCCGAGCAACCAUGCUGUCACGUUGACCUGAUCGAUCGUAAAAUAAACGAAGGUUCCGUACGUUUGGGACUUGGGAUUGGGAGUGAUGGGCUGACGACGUAACUAGCACGUGACGCGGAAUCUAGCUCUCGUGUAGUUUGACAAUUCCAAGUAGGAUUUUUUUUUACCAUGCAAAAAAAAG